rnacentral:rRNA from 1 species
GAUAAACGCUGGCGGCGCACAUAAGACAUGCAAGUUGAACGGACUUAAUCGAAAUAUUUAUAUUUUGAAGCGGUUAGUGGCGGACUGGUGAGUAACGCGUAAGGAACCUGCCUAUUAGAGGGGAAUAACAGUGAGAAAUCAUUGCUAAUACCGCAUAUGCCAUAGAUAUCACAUGAUAACAGUGGGAAAGGAGCAAUCCGCUAAUAGAUGGCCUUGCGUCUGAUUAGAUAGUUGGUGGGGUAACGGCCUACCAAGUCGACGAUCAGUAGCCGGACUGAGAGGUUGAACGGCCACAUUGGGACUGAGAUACGGCCCAGACUCCUACGGGAGGCAGCAGUCGGGAAUAUUGCGCAAUGGAGGAAACUCUGACGCAGUGACGCCGCGUAUAGGAAGAAGGUUUUCGGAUUGUAAACUAUUGUCGUUAGGGAAGCGAAAUGACAGUACCUAAGGAGGAAGCUCCGGCUAACUACGUG